rnacentral:rRNA from 1 species
GUUGCCUACGGGACGCAGCAGUGAGGAUUAUUGGUUAUUGGGCGGACGCCUGAACCAGCCAAGUCGCGUGAGGGAAUAAGGCCCUACGGGUCGUAAACCUCUUUUGCCGGGGAGCAAGGGCGGGGACGUGUCCCGGCCCGGAGAGUACCCGGAGAAAAAGCAUCGGCUAACUCCGUGCCAGCAGCCGCGGUAAUACGGAGGAUGCGAGCGUUAUCCGGAUUUACUGGGUUUAAAGGGUGCGUAGGCGGGCUUUUAAGUCAGCGGUAAAAAUUCGGGGCUCAACCCCGUCCGGCCGUUGACACUGG